GAGGGGCUGGGUGAAGAAUGUGUCUGAGGAAGUGUGUUGUGAUCCAGAGACACAGAGGCUGAACUGAGGAGGUGUGAGUGCUCAGGGUUGAUGUCAAACAUCAUCUGUUACACGGGACGAUGGCUCUCAGCUUUUUUCUGCUUCUGGCUUCUCUUAUAGGUGGUCAUUUUGCAGAUGACAUUAAACCAACUAAAUCAGAAGAGAAGGCAUUGAAAGGAGAAAAUGUGAUGCUGUCGUGUGACUACACUGUUUCAGUACACACUCUACAGUGGUAUCGCCAGUAUCCCAGAUCAGCUCCAGAGUUUCUGGUGCUCACUGCCAACACUGCAGGAGAUGAUCUGAGAUCAGAUGUAGAUCACCGAAUGUCUGUGAGGGUGAAUGAAGAGAAAACUCGAGUGUCUCUGCAGAUCUCCUCUGUUCAAGUGUCUGACUCUGCACUGUACUACUGUGCUCUGACGCCCACAGUGACACAAAACCACAGUCUGCCACACAAAAACAUGACUGCACUGAGGGAAAAACAUGCCUGUGCAUCACAAUACAUCUACACCUACUGGCGUUCACUGCCAAAUUCACUUCAAUUUUAUAGAAAUAUUUAGC